AACGGCGUGUGAAGCGGCAAGAGCUCAAAUUUGAAAUCUGGCCUCCCUUGGGGGGUCCGAGUUGUAAUUUGUAGAGGAUGCUUCGGGUGUGGCCGCCGUCUAAGUUCCUUGGAACAGGACGUCGUAGAGGGUGAGAAUCCCGUCUUGGGCGGCCGGUCCGCGCCCGUGUGAAGCUCCUUCGACGAGUCGAGUUGUUUGGGAAUGCAGCUCUAAGCGGGUGGUAAAUUUCAUCUAAAGCUAAAUACUGGCCGGAGACCGAUAGCGCACAAGUAGAGUGAUCGAAAGGUUAAAAGCACCUUGAAAAGGGAGUUAAACAGCACGUGAAAUUGUUGAAAGGGAAGCGCUUGCGGCCAGACUCGAGGGGCGGGGUUCAGCGGGUGCGCGUCACCCGUGCACUCCCCGUCCCCCCGGGCCAGCAUCAGUUUCGACGGCCGGUCAAAGGCCCCCGGAAUGUGUCGUCUCUAGGGACGUCUUAUAGCCGGGGGUGCAAUGCGGCCCGCCGGGACUGAGGAACGCGCUCCGGCUCGGAUGCUGGCGUAAUGGCCGUAAGCGGCCCGUCUUGAAACACGGACCAAGGAGUCUAACAUCCACGCGAGUGUUCGGGUGUCAAACCCGUGCGCGCAGUGAAAGCGAACGGAGGUGGGAGCCCUAGGGCGCACCAUCGACCGAUCCUGAAGUCUUCGGAUGGAUUUGAGUAGGAGCGUGGCCGUUGGGACCCGAAAGAUGGUGAACUAUGCCUGAAUAGGGUGAAGCCAGAGGAAACUCUGGUGGAGGCUCGCAGCGGUUCUGACGUGCAAAUCGAUCGUCAAAUUU
rnacentral:rRNA from 1 species